GACGAACGCUGGCGGCGUGCUUAACACAUGCAAGUCGAACGGAAAGGCCCUGCUUUUGUGGGGUGCUCGAGUGGCGAACGGGUGAGUAACACGUGAGUAACCUGCCCUUGACUUUGGGAUAACUUCAGGAAACUGGGGCUAAUACCGGAUAUGAGCUCCUGCUGCAUGGUGGUGGUUGGAAAGUUUCGGCGGUUGGGGAUGGACUCGCGGCUUAUCAGCUUGUUGGUGGGGUAGUUGCUUACCAAGGCUUUGACGGGUAGCCGGCCUGAGAGGGUGACCGGCCACAUUGGGACUGAGAUACGGCGCAGACUCCUACGGGAGGCAGCAGGGGGGAAUAUUGCACAAUGGGCGGAAGCCUGAUGAAGCAACGCCGCGUGCGGGAUGACGGCCUUCGGGUUGUAAACCGCUUUCGCCUGUGACGAAGCGUGAGUGACGGUAAUGGGUAAAGAAGCAACGGCUAACUACGUG
rnacentral:rRNA from 1 species